UACGUAGGUGUCAAGCGUUGUCCGGAUUUAUUGGGCGUAAAGCGCCUGCAGGCGGCUUGCCAAGUUCGAUGUGAAAUCUCCCGGCUCGACUGGGAGGGUGCAUCGAAAACUGGCAGGCUUGAGGCAGGGAGAGGGAUGUGGAAUUCCAGGUGUAGUGGUGAAAUGCGUAGAUAUCUGGAGGAACACCGGUGGCGAAGGCGGCAUCCUGGACCAACACUGACGCUGAGUGAGCGAAAGCCAGGGGAGCAAACGGG
rnacentral:rRNA from 1 species